rnacentral:rRNA from 1 species
CACGUAGGGCGCAAGCGUUGUCCGGAAUUCUUGGGCGUCAAGAGCUCGUAGGUGGUUUGUUACGUCCGCUGUGAAAUCCUAGGGCUUAACCCUGGGCUUGCAGUGGAUACGGGCAGACUAGAGGUAGGUAGGGGAGAAUGGAAUUCCUGGUGUAGCGGUGAAAUGCGCAGAUAUCAGGAGGAACACCGGUGGCGAAGGCGGUUCUCUGGGCCUUACCUGACACUGAGGAGCGAAAGCGUGGGGAGCGAACAGG